AACGAACGCUGGCGGCAUGCCUAACACAUGCAAGUCGAACGAGAUCUUCGGGUCUAGUGGCGCACGGGUGCGUAACGCGUGGGAAUCUGCCCUUUGGUUCGGAAUAACAGUUGGAAACGACUGCUAAUACCGGAUGAUGACGAAAGUCCAAAGAUUUAUCGCCAGAGGAUGAGCCCGCGUAGGAUUAGCUAGUUGGUGUGGUAAAGGCGCACCAAGGCGCCGAUCCUUAGCUGGUCUGAGAGGAUGAUCAGCCACACUGGGACUGAGACACGGCCCAGACUCCUACGGGAGGCAGCAGUGGGGAAUAUUGGACAAUGGGCGAAAGCCUGAUCCAGCAAUGCCGCGUGAGUGAUGAAGGCCUUAGGGGUGGAAAGCUCUCUUACCCGGGAUGAUAAUGACAGUACCGGGAGAAUAAGCUCCGGCUAACUCCGUGCCAGCCGCCGCCGUAA
rnacentral:rRNA from 1 species